rnacentral:misc_RNA from 1 species
UGCAGCGCGCAGGCGGGCC